rfam:Hordeum vulgare subsp. vulgare, WGS project CAJW01000000 data, contig: morex_contig_137009
AUAUUACUCCCUUCGUCCGAAAAUACUUCUUAUAGGAAUGAAUAUAUCUAGAUGUAUUUUAGUUCUAAAUACAUCUAUUUUUAUUCAUUUAUACAACAAGUAAUUUCGGAUGGAGGGAGUAUAUG